UUUACAUGUUCUUGUAAACACACUGCACAAUGUUGCUGUUGUCAGCAGUUGCAUUAUGCAAACCAUGGCUGAUCUGAUCACAUAGCAGAGAGUUUGACCACAACUUUGACUAAACAAAUGAGAAUGACUCUGACGUAGCCUCUUUAACCCAGAUCCGUACACAGGCUCAAUCUAAAAACACACCUCUCUCCCUCUCUCUCUCUCUAACAUGCACUCUCUUUCUCUUAAUAAGUCUACCCACCCACCCAACCACCCCCAGAGGUCACGUGAGUCAAUCAGCCCCAUGGUAGUGUUGAUUGAUGACUUCAGCCAGAACCAGGCUUUAACCACAGACACAUACAAACUCCCAUUACUCACCUCAAAGAUAAGCAAAUGGUCUGUAAGCCACCAAUGGCUCUAAGUGCUGUACAAACACAGGUAAUGCUGGCCUCAUUUCAAAAGUCUUCAUUACCUAACCACAGCCUCGACAAAACAAAAACAUAUACAUAUAAUAAAGAUGGCAGUAUGCUGGGCCCCUUUCAUCUCUUGAUCUAGAAGCGCAAGGUCAGAUCAAAUCAGUGGGUCUGUUUUCAGCAGUGUAUCUGUGAUGCCGUCGGCGAUGACGCACCCUGACGAAUAAUAAGAUGGACUUAAAAUGAAAUUUUCUGGAUGUGCUGCCAAAAAGAUGCGCCAGAGUUACUGAGCAGAGAUGAGGAGGUUAAGAAGCCAACGUGUACUUGGGUCUGACGCAAACUGACAGUACAGUACAAUACAGGUAGUGUAUCGACAGUCAAGGGAUGCGGGCAUGAUUAACAUAUGAUGAUUCAAAGCCUCUGACAAGCUCUGUCACAAGACUGGAGUCUGGAGGGAGGAUUACAAGGCCAGAUGUUAACAGGAGUGGAAAUGGCCCUAAAAAGAGCAGUAGGAAAGAGCUCUAAUCAUGUAUUUUGGAAGAAUGGUUGUCAUCUCGCUAGCAGAGCUCCACGGGCGUGAAAAAACUACAAUGUUGGUUUUUCCUUUAGUCAGUCAACCAUAUGACGAGCGAACUUAGAGUUCCAAACUUCAGUUUAGCAUUGAGUGUUUGGAAUAUUCUCAGGAUAUGGAGCUGAACAAGUGGAUUCAUAUGAAAAGUACCGUAUUGUAGCGGGUGCCAGUACUGGUACUGGUGCCACUGUUGGCUUGAGAGGCUGUAUACACUUGCACAGUUUCCCCCUUUACGUACACUCAUCCAGCAUCGAGUGUUCACGUGGCCUCCUAUUAAACAGACAAAUAGAAGAUAUUAUCUUGACUUAUGGCUAGCUUUAGCAUUAGACCGACCUUGCUUUGCUUUGGUAGGGCACCAGUGCUGCUGAUCUCGGCACCAUUGUAGAGCCGAUAUAAAGGACAUAUGCAGCAUUAAACUUGUCAGCAAGUGAAACCUUAAAUUUUAAGAGAAAAAAUAAUUUCUUUCUUUUUUUUUUAACCGGUACUGCACCUUAAAAUGUAGAAGAAGUGCAAGUUUUUACGUUAAAAACUUGGCCGAAAGUAUCUGCUGACUUUUGAAAUUCAGACAAAUUAUAAUGAUUUUGCCCAAUGAGUGGGGAUCAGCUGAAGAAUAGAUACUUGUCCCCAGCACAGUCCAAACGUCACAGGCCUAUAGUCUGUCGCUACUGCGCACUCAGCAGUACUUCUCCAUGCUCUUCUUGCACAACAGGCUGGAGCAGGCAGAUGAAAGGAGCGUCCACACUGGGCUCUGGCUCCAGCCCCCCUCCAUCCAUCACAAUCAACGCCAACAGUCAACCCAAUUAGGCCCCCGGAACACUCAGGGCCACGGCUUGAUUGUUAACACUGUGAAAACACAGAGGGAAGGAGGGUGGACGCUGGGCGAUGAUGGGAAUUCUGAAAGCUUGGGGGGAGUUUGGGGAAAGAUCGGGGAGGAGAGGGGGGAGGAAGGUCAGAUAGAUGGCAGCCCCAUUUCCUCUCUAAUGGUCUCCAAACGAGGGAAUAUGAGGGAAUGUUACCCAGUAAAGCAGGUGACCCAGAGAAAAGGUGGGGGCAGCCACACCCACCCCUGAACCCUCGUUUGACUUGGAACAUACGCACAUCUGCAUAGAAGCCAUUAAAAAGAAAGACAUGAAGGGUCAUGCAGGAGUAUAAUUAUGCAUGCAAGGACUGUAGAAAGCACACUCAAGGGAAAAACAUAAAUAAAAAUUAUGAGCAGAAGUACGCCUCGGAGAGCUUGUUCUUGAACAUAAGAGUGCGUGUAAGACAAACACAAUGACUUCUAUAGCGUCAUUUCCAGCAAUCCCAUAACUCUCGCCCACCACAACCGCUGAUUUGUUUCAGUUCUCUCAUCGAAAAGCCAUUAAGCGCUAUGGUGCACUUGGCUGUGCUAGUCAGUUUAAUCAGCUUUCCCUGUUCGGUGGAAGUUACAGGAAACGGCAGAAAGGAACACCUGGACUGGGUUACACCAUUCAGGAAUCCAUGAAUAAAGCAUUUAGAAACAACUAGCUACUUUGGAAAUGUGACUUACAAAAUCGGGUGGCACCGUUAACUGCAUCCUUAAGGCCAAAACGGCCAUAAUAAAGGGAAAUAUGCCUGUUUUGAAAUAAACAGGAAUUAUCCUUUAUUGGAUGGCGAGUUAGCUAAUAAGAUCAUGUUGUGCAUUGGGAGCUAGGAAACAUAUGGAGAAUCAAAACAAAGUCAAUACUGGUAACUUUAUUUGCAAAUGUAUAAGAAGGACUUUUAAUAAGAUCAAGAACUGGGGCUCCAUUGAAUGAAUGAAUGAAAACAUUUUUCUAUUUGCAGUUUUCAUUGUGUUUUUGGUAGAAGGGAUUAAUACAACAGACAUAGCCCCAUUAUUAGGUUUCAGUUGUAUUAAGAACCACUUGAUGGUCUACAAGUUUCUGUAGUGUUUGACUACACCUCUAACGUGUCAUUACCAUUGGAAAACAUGCCAUUAUGAGACUGUAUCAUGUUGUAAAUGAUAAGUAGCCAAUCGUCAAGCAUUAGCAGAAUGUUAACAUUUUCUGGACAAAAUGAGCUUCCCUAAACAAAGAAAAGAUAAAAAUGUAUUUGUAUUUCUGUUUGGAAAUGCAACUGUUACAGCAAUUUUGAAAGCCAAUAAAAUAUAAAACAUUAAAAUGCGAGCUUUAAGUCAAGACACAAGAUGCAAAUAACUGUUUUUGCUCUUUGGCUCUAGCUACUUUUAGCUGCUUCCAGUGUGGUUGAUUUUUACGCCUGAUGUCCAUCCUGAUGAGCCUUCAAAGGGAUUUAUGUCGGUCUCUGGAUCAAUUUUGACUCUUUAGCUUUGAUAUUAGUCUCGUGGGACAAAAAAAGUUAGCUGAUGUUCGAGUGAGCUGCAGUUACAGCAUUUUGUUGGGAAGAUGGGUGUGAUGUUCAAAACAAAUCUAGGCCUUCAUAUUAAUUUUUAACACUAAUUGCUUUGAAUUACAUUUAAAUUCAAGAAAUUUCCUUCUAAAAAUAAACAAAUAUCUAAAGUAAGAAAUGUAGAAAUCUAGUAAAUCCACCUUAAUUACCUUGUUAAAUGUCAAGAUUACAAAAUAAUGUAGCGUUUUAAAAAUGAUCAUCUUUUAUCUUUGCCUUAGCUUAUAGGACGUGUUUAUUACGCCAGCCAGGUGACGAGGACUGUGGUCUUACCUUCCACAUGUGGAGGGCUUGAGGAGUAGCAGUUUGCAUGGUGUCCAGUCUGCCCUGAGUCUAACAGGAGAAGAUGAAGAAAGCAGAAGUUAAAGAACAGGUUCACAUGGCUGAAGUCUAUCUCAGCUAUCACAGGGAGAGAGGCGAGGUCCACCUGAACAGGCCAUCAGUCUUUCACAACAGAUGGAAAACCACAUUCUCAAGUCUACACCAUUGUGUUUUUAGGCGUAUCCUAACAAGUGUCUCAUGGGAUUGUGAGAGAGCACAAAACUCCUCAGAAAGACCCCUGCUGACAUUUGACAUUUGAACCCAGAGCCUUCUCGCUGCAUGGAAAGAGUGGCAAUUUCAGGGUCUAAUCCUGCAUUUUGUUUAUUUAUUUUUGCAUCUACAGAGCAGCUGCAUUAACACACUCACCUGGAGUGUCAGUUAUCAGCCUUCUACCCUAAGCUUUGUCAGCUGGUUCAAUCAGUGACACAAAAGUCUGACAUAUUAUGACUUAAACUGGUUUUCACCCUGUUACUGUCAGGUAUGAUCUCUUCUCUUUCUUGUAAAAACAAACCAACCUAAACACACACAGUUGAAUGCCACUUUUUUUGUCAAUUACUCUGUACGGCCGUAUGGAUUCUGAUGAAAUGGAGUGUAUGAGUUGUGACACACUGCUCUCUGGUUAGCUCAUUGACUGAGUCAAGGUCUGUUUCGAGCCAUUUUUCUCCAGCGUCCUUGCUGUAUGUGCCAAACUCUAAGCAAAGCCUGCUGUUCUUACCAUUUCUGGUAACACAAUCCCACUUCAUUUGGGUUAAUAAGUGAAACCAACUGGGCUCUGUCUCUUUUUCCUCUUUGUGUGAGUGUGGGUUGGUAGGAGCUGGGAAAUCGUGCACACACUUCAAUAAAACUGUUUUUUUAGAUAUCUGGUGCAUCGUUAUUGUAUUUGUCAUUUACGCAUGUGUAAAUGACAAGUCUUAAAAGAAUCUUAUCAGGUUGAAUUUCAGUGGACACACUGAAGGCUUUACAGUAAACUCUGUUAGUAGUAUCGCCCUGGAUGUUUUGAUUCGUCCUUGCAUGUGUGCUGGUGCAUAUGUAACUGUGGUUAUUAAGUAAUAAAUGCCAACCA